rnacentral:rRNA from 1 species
GACGAACGCUGGCGGCGUGCUUAACACAUGCAAGUCGAACGAUGAAGCCGGAGCUUGCUCUGGUGAAUUAGUGGCGAACGGGUGAGUAACACGUGAGUAACCUGCCCUUGACUCUGGGAUAACUGCGGGAAACUGUAGCUAAUACCGGAUACGACCCUCGGAGGCAUCUCCUGGGGGUGGAAAGAAUUUCGGUCAAGGAUGGACUCGCGGCCUAUCAGCUAGUUGGUGAGGUAACGGCUCACCAAGGCGACGACGGGUAGCCGGCCUGAGAGGGUGACCGGCCACACUGGGACUGAGACACGGCCCAGACUCCUACGGGAGGCAGCAGUGGGGAAUAUUGCACAAUGGGCGCAAGCCUGAUGCGGCAACGCCGCGUGAGGGAUGACGGCCUUCGGGUUGUAAACCUCUUUUAGCAGGGAAGAAGCGAAAGUGACGGUACCUGCAGAAAAAGCACCGACUAACUACGUGCCAGCCGCCGCGGUAA